rnacentral:rRNA from 1 species
AUUGAACGCUGGCGGCAUGCCUUACACAUGCAAGUCGAACGGCAGCACGGGGGCAACCCUGGUGGCGAGUGGCGAACGGGUGAGUAACAUAUCGGAACAUACCCUAGAGUGGGGGAUAACGUAGCGAAAGUUACGCUAAUACCGCAUACGAUCUAAGGAUGAAAGUGGGGGAUCUUCGGACCUCAUGCUCAUGGAGUGGCCGAUAUCUGAUUAGCUAGUUGGUGAGGUAAAGGCUCACCAAGGCGACGAUCAGUAGCUGGUUUGAGAGAACGACCAGCCACACUGGAACUGAGACACGGUCCAGACUCCUACGGAGGCAGCAGUGGGGAAUUUUGGACAAUGGGGGCAACCCUGAUCCAGCAAUGCCGCGUGAGUGAAGAAGGCCU